UAAGCAUAUCAAUAAGCGGAGGAAAAGAAACUAACAAGGAUUCCCUUAGUAACUGCGAGUGAAGAGGGAAGAGCUCAAAUUUAAAAUCUGGCAGUGUUUUGCUGUCCGAGUUGUAAUCUAGAGAAGUGCUGCCCGUGCUGGACCGUGUACAAGUCUCCUGGAAUGGAGCGUCACAGAGGGUGAGAAUCCCGUCUUUGACAUGGACUGCCAGUGCAUUUGUGGUGUGCUCUCAAAGAGUCGAGUUGUUUGGGAAUGCAGCUCUAAAUGGGUGGUAAACUCCAUCUAAAGCUAAAUAUUGGCGAGAGACCGAUAGCGAACAAGUACCGUGAGGGAAAGAUGAAAAGAACUUUGGAAAGAGAGUUAAACAGUAUGUGAAAUUGUUGAAAGGGAAACGCUUAAAGUCAGUCGUGUCGGCCAGGGAUCAACUCAGUUUUCUUUGCUGGGUGUACUUCCUGAUCUGAUGGGCCAACAUCAGUUUUGACUGCUGGAGAAGGAUAGAGGGAAUGUGGCACCUUCGGGUGUGUUAUAGCUCUCUGUCGGAUGCAGUGGUUGGGACUGAGGAAAGCAGCAUGCCGCAAGGCCGGGUUUCGACCACGUUCAUGCUGAGGAUGUUGGCAUAAUGGCUUUAAUCGACCCGU
rnacentral:rRNA from 1 species